rnacentral:lncRNA from 1 species
GGCAGAAGGAGCCGGGCUUAACGCGGGGGGAGCUGCCGCGGAGGGGAAGAGAGGGGCGCGGAGCUGAGUGCCGCAGUGCCGCCGUCGGAGGGGCUGCAGUUCACUCAGUGGCUCAAGCUUCCUGUUUUUGCUGGCCUCCUCACUCAAGUCUACCUUGAGUCCUUCCCUCUGCGCACUACUGCAUGUCAAAGCUGGUGAUGCCGUGCAGAGCAGGAAUGAGGUAAAAAGCCUGACAAGGAGAUCCUUUUCUUGAAGAAAUUCUAACUGAAUCAGUAGGCACAGUUUGCAGUGAACUGCAGGGUAAAAUGAUAAAACACCACACACUGGAU